GAAAGAUUCAUCGGAAGAGGAUGGGCAUGCGGCGCAUUAGCUUGACGGCGGGGUAACGGCCCACCGUGGCGACGAUGCGUAGGGGUUCUGAGAGGAAGGUCCCCCACACUGGUACUGAGACACGGACCAGACUCCUACGGGAGGCAGCAGUGAGGAAUAUUGGUCAAUGGGAGAGAUCCUGAACCAGCCAAGCCGCGUGAGGGAAGACGGCCCUAUGGGUUGUAAACCUCUUUUGUCGGAGAACAAAACCCGGGACGUGUCCCGGACUGCGUGUAUCCGAAGAAAAAGCAUCGGCUAACCCCGUGCCAGCAGCCGCGGUAAUACGGAGGAUGCGAGCGUUAUCCGGAUUUAUUGGGUUUAAAGGGUGCGUAGGCGGUCUGUUAAGUCAGCGGUAAAAUUGCGGGGCUCAACCCCGUCGAGCCGUUGAAACUGGCAGACUUGAGUUGGCGAGAAGUACGCGGAAUGCGCGGUGUAGCGGUGAAAUGCAUAGAUAUCGCGCAGAACUCCGAUUGCGAAGGCAGCGUACCGGCGCCAGACUGACGCUGAGGCACGAAAGCGUGGGGAUCGAACAGGAUUAGAUACCCUGGUAGUCCACGCAGUAAACGAUGAAUGCUGGUUGUCCGGGUCGAAUGAGACCUGG
rnacentral:rRNA from 1 species